rnacentral:rRNA from 2 species
GAGUACGUGAAACCGCCCAGAGGUAAACGGGUGGAUCCGCAAAGUCGGCCCACGGAAUUCAGCUCGGCGAGCGGCCUGGGACAGCUGCGGUUCGGGAUCCCUGGGACCCGUCCGCUGGCGUCGUGCCGGGCUCCGCCGAGUGCACUUUCCGUGGGCAGAGCGCCACAACCGGUUUCGCGGGCGGCGAGAAGCCGGGCGGGAAGGUAGGUCUGGGCGGAAACGUUCAGACUGUUACAGCCCGCUCAGGCGCGCCGCUCCGGGAUCGAGGGACUACCGUUCGCUUCGAGGCUACCCG